rnacentral:rRNA from 1 species
UGGUCAAGUUAUUAAGGGUGCAGGGCGGAUGCCUUGGCACUAGGAGCCGAUGAAGGACGUGAUAAGC